AGGAGGAGGAGGAGGAGGAACCGGAUGUUAACCCUCCGCACGGGGGGAGGAGGAGGAGGAGGAAGGCUACCCGGGAGGGCCCAUUGAAACGUCUGUGCUGAUUUCCUACCACGAGCACGUCGCUCGACUUGUCUGGGCGGGAGAGGAGAGACAGACUUUAAAACAGGUGAACCACGCCCGGAAGAUUUUCGGUCUCUUUAAAUCAGAGGCAGUGGUUUAACGACGCGGUGACAACUUCAGGGCUAGGUGGGUUGUGCAUGACCGGGUAUUCCACCAUCAUCCACGACAUGCAGGGGGCCUUUGUGGAGCGGUGGCACAGGGAGACUUCUUCUUUCCAUUUACCGGUUGGGGAGAUGACGAUCACCUUGCACGAUGUGCAUUGCCUUCUCCACCUGCCGAUUAGGGGGAUGCUGCUGGACCAUUCCCGGAUCUAGAGGGUCGAUGCCAUCGAUUGGAUGAGCAUCUAUUUGGGUAUGGACCAGAUAUGGCUGAUUAUGAGUGCUAGACGACAAAUGGGUCUCAUAUCCGGUUCUCCACAUUGAGCGAUUAUUUCGAGCACCACCUGGUGGCGGCGGACGAAUCUGAGGCCGCGGAGAACGGCCUAUUUAUGGAGUAUCCUUGUGUCUGCGCUCUCCGGUGCUGGUUCAUGUUUGUGGUAGGCGAUGCACUCUUUGUGGAUAAGAGUGCAAGGUACGUCGACGUGGCCUACCUCCGUUAUUUCAUGGACUUGACUAGCGUUCACCAGUGGAACUAUGGGUCAGCUAUUCUGGUAUAUCUAUACUAGAAGCUGAAUGAGGCCUCCAGCUGGAGGACCAGGCAGCUGAACGGAUCCUGCACAAUCCUGAUGGGCUGGAUCAUCUCCUACUUCCGCCCCCCCCCCCGCAUCCACGUUGAUCCUGCGUACGAGGACGCCAUGUCCAGGGCCGCCCGAUACGUUCUCAAGAGGGGAACAAUGCAGUGGGACGAUAACGUGGGUACCUCGACCGCACAGCUCACGAUGACAUCAGUUGGAGGCCAUUCAGUGACUACACUGCGGUUGUCGCCUUUGACCGCAUCUCAUUAUAUUCUGGCUGGUUGGCAUGCGGGACCAACACCAUGGUGAGGUAUCUCCCUGAGCGGUGCAUGCGGCAGUUCGGAUUUAUGCAGAUGAUACCCAGGUCACCUUUUGAGGAUGCUCCGGACACAGUCACCCGAGUGGAGCUCACUGGCAUAUUUGCGGAUUGGGAGUGUCAUGUGGUCCCGAAGGAGUAUCGUCGCAUGCAGGUCACCCAGGACUGGCACAGUGUGGAGGGGUAUGUCACAUGGUUCUAUCGGGUGUCACAUCCUCUGAUGACAGCCGACGCUCCCGGCGCUCCUAGGCCAGCAUACGAGGAGGUCCUGGAGAACCAGUAGGCCGAGGAUGACCAUGCCAUUGAUCUCAUACCGAUCUGCCAGCGGAUAGAGGUGCUUGGGCCGGACGCGUUGGACCGAGGUAUCAUUGAUCUGGGCAUUCCAGAGGCAGUCGUCGUGGUGGAGAGAAUGGUCGGUGAUGCGGCCCAUGCGACGACAUAUAGGAGGCAGAGGAGGUCCCCAGGAGUGAGGGUUAGGCAUACCCAGUAGGGGUUCGGAUUUAUUUUUCUUGUAUUCGGUAAAACAAUUUUAAUUUUUUUAAUUUUAUUUUUUAUCAUAUUUUGAAAAUAAAAGCAAACGCACGGGUAUCCUGCUAGUUGAUUAGAAAAAGGGAAGACUGAAUACUUUAUAAGUGAGAGAAUCCACACCUAUCAUC